ACAAAGUAAGGAUGCAUCUUAGUAAAUAAUUGUCACAGUAGUUAAUGUGGUUAAGGUGUAGUUAGUGUAGUUAAGGUGUAGUUAGUGUAGUUAAGGUGUAGUUAAGGUGGUUAGCGUGGUUAAUGUGGUUAAGGUGUAGUUAGUGUGGUUAAGGUGUAGAUAAUGUGGUUAAGGUGUAGUUAAGGUGUAGUUAGUGUGGUUAAGGUGUAGUUAAGGUGGUUAAGGUGUAGUUAGUGUAGUUAAGGUGUAGUUAGUGUAGUUAAGGUGGUUAAGGUGUAGUUAGUGUAGUUAAGGUGUAGUUAGUGUAGUUAAGGUGUAGUUAAUGUGGUUAAGGUGUAGUUAAUGUGGUUAAGGUGUAGUUAAGGUAGUUAAGGUGUAGUUAGUGUGGUUAAGGUCUAGUUAGUGUGGUUAAGGUGUAGUUAAGGUGUAGUUUGUGUGGUUAAGGUGUAGUCAGUGUGGUUUAUGUGUGUUAACUGCUUCCAUGUUGUUGUUGUUGUUGUUGUUGUUGUUGUUGGGCCACAGGACACCCUCCUAAGUGCUGUGUGGCUGUUUCCAAGCGCAUCCCACGCCACGUGCUCAAGGACAUGCUGAGGUACGAGGUGCAGCGCAGCUCAGGACUCUGUGACAUCGACGCCAUCAUAAUAUACACACGGAGGAUAAAACGAGUCUGCGCCCAUCCAAGGAUUAAGAAACAUCUGGAUCUACUGAUGAAAAAGGAACGGCAUCUCGCCAUGAAGAUCGCAGCACCAUGAGCCCUGAGCUUAAGGACUGGACACCUGGGGAUGACUUUGCUGUUCCAUGUGUCUGAGUUUGGGCAUUCUGCUUCUUAUUGCACCAUAAGGAAAUACAAAUAAUCAAAUAAUGUACUACAGAGGAAAUGCUUUGAGUGCGGCAGCUGGAAAUUGACCCCUGUGUUUCAAAUAAGCCUUUCUUGCUUACUGUGUUUACAGUGUUUCAAAUAAGCCUUUCUUGCUUACCGGUGUUUAGGUGACUGAAUAAAGGUGACUAUCCUGACAUCAAG
ensembl:lncRNA